GUGGGGAAUUUUGGACAAUGGGCGCAAGCCUGAUCCAGCAAUGCCGCGUGCAGGAAGAAGGCCUUCGGGUUGUAAACUGCUUUUGUACGGAACGAAACGGUCCUGGUUAAUACCUGGGGCUAAUGACGGUACCGUAAGAAUAAGCACCGGCUAACUACGUGCCAGCAGCCGCGGUAAUACGGAGGGUGCGAGCGGUAAUCGGAAUUACUGGGCGUAAAGCGUGCGCAGGCGGUGCUGUAAGACAGGCGUGCAAUCCCCGGGCUCAACCUGGGAAUUGCGCUUGUGACUGCAGUGCUGGAGUACGGCAGAGGGGGAUGGAAUUCCGCGUGUAGCAGUGAAAUGCGUAGAUAUGCGGAGGAACACCGAUGGCGAAGGCAGUCCCCUGGGCCUGUACUGACGCUCAUGCACGAAAGCGUGGGGAGCAAACAGGAUUAGAAACCCUGGUAGUCC
rnacentral:rRNA from 1 species